AGAACGAACGCUGGCGGCAUGCCUAACACAUGCAAGUCGAACGAGACCUUCGGGUCUAGUGGCGCACGGGUGCGUAACGCGUGGGAAUCUGCCCUUGGGUUCGGAAUAACAGCGAGAAAUUGCUGCUAAUACCGGAUGGUGACGUAAGUCCAAAGAUUUAUCGCCCAAGGAUGAGCCCGCGUAGGAUUAGCUUGUUGGUGAGGUAAGAGCUCACCAAGGCGACGAUCCUUAGCUGGUCUGAGAGGAUGAUCAGCCACACUGGGACUGAGACACGGCCCAGACUCCUACGGGAGGCAGCAGUGGGGAAUAGUUGGACAAGUGGGCGAAAGCCUGAUCCAGCAAUGCCGCGUGAGUGAUGAAGGCCUUAGGGUUGUAAAGCUCUUUACCGGAUGAUAAUGACAGGUACCGGAAGAAUAA
rnacentral:rRNA from 1 species